AGUGGCGGAAGGGCGAGGAACGCAUGGGCAACCUGUCCCGAGGGUGGGGAUAACGCCGCGAAAGCGGCGCUAAUACCGAAUGUGGCGUACGCGGCGCAUGCCGCGUCCGCCAAAGGCGGGGACCGCAAGGCCCGCCCCCCGGGGAAGGGCCCGUGUGCCAUCAGCUUGUUGGCGGGGUAACGGCCCACCAAGGCUUACGGCUAGCUGGUCUGAGAGGACGACCAGCCGCACUGGGACUGAGACACUGCCCAGACUCCUACGGGAGGCUGCAGUCGAGGAUCAUUCGCAAUGGGGGAAACCCUGACGAUGCGACGCUGCGUGGAGGAUGAAGGCCCUCGGGUCGUAAACUCCUGUCAUGAGGGAAGAGGAGGACGCCGGUAACACCGGCGCGAUUUGACGGUACCUCAAGAGGAAGCCACGGCUAACUCUGUGCCAGCAGCCGCGGUAAUACAGAGGUGGCGAGCGUUGUUCGGAUUUACUGGGCGUAAAGGGCGCGUAGGCGGCCGCGUGUGUGGGGUGUGAAAUCCCAGGGCUCAACCCUGGAAGUGCGCCCCAAACUGCGCGGCUCGAGUGCGGGAGGGGAGAUCGGAAUGCAUGGUGUAGCGGUGAAAUGCGUUGAUAUCAUGCAGAACACCGGUGGCGAAGGCGGAUCUCUGGAACGCAACUGACGCUGAGGCGCGAAAGCCGGGG
rnacentral:rRNA from 1 species